rnacentral:rRNA from 1 species
UACGUAGGUGACCAGCGUUGUCCGGAUUUACUGGGCGUAAAGAGCGCGCAGGCGGUCUUUCAAGUCGGGUGUGAAAGCCCCCGGCUCAACUGGGGAGGGUCAUUCGAUACUGAUCGACUCGAAGGCAGGAGAGGGAAGUGGAAUUCCCGGUGUAGUGGUGAAAUGCGUAGAUAUCGGGAGGAACACCAGUGGCGAAGGCGACUUCCUGGCCUGUUCUUGACGCUGAGGCGCGAAAGCUAGGGGAGCAAACGGG